rnacentral:rRNA from 1 species
CAGUUUUGGCGGAGCCAUCCUUGGGAUACCACCCUUGUAGUACUGGGACUCUAACCAUAGGCCAUGAAUCUGGUCUUGGGACACUGUCAGGCGGGCAGUUUGACUGGGGCGGUCGCCUCCCAAAAGGUAACGGAGGCGCUCAAAGGUUCUCUCAGUACGGUCGGAAAUCGUACGUAGAGUGUAAAGGCAAAAGAGAGCUUGAUUGCAAGACAUACAGGUCGAGCAA